UCUCUCCCCAUAGGGCAGGGUUUCUAAACCCUGGAUCAUUGGAAGGGAGAGAGUUGAAGGGGUUGUUCUAAGCCAACCUGUAUAUGAACAUCCCCAGCAGG
ensembl:snoRNA